GACGAACGCUGGCGGCGUGCCUAAUACAUGCAAGUAGAACGCUGAAGAGAGGAGCUUGCUCUUCUUGGAUGAGUUGCGAACGGGUGAGUAACGCGUAGGUAACCUGCCUUGUAGCGGGGGAUAACUAUUGGAAACGAUAGCUAAUACCGCAUAACAAUGGGUGACACAUGUCAUUUAUUUGAAAGGGGCAACUGCUCCACUACAAGAUGGACCUGCGUUGUAUUAGCUAGUAGGUGAGGUAACGGCUCACCUAGGCGACGAUACAUAGCCGACCUGAGAGGGUGAUCGGCCACACUGGGACUGAGACGCGGCCCAGACUCCUACGGGAGGCAGCAGUAGGGAAUCUUCGGCAAUGGGGGCAACCCUGACCGAGCAACGCCGCGUGAGUGAAGAAGGUUUUCGGAUCGUAAAGCUCUGUUGUAAGUCAAGAACGAGUGUGAGAGUGGAAAGUUCACACUGUGACGGUAGCUUACCAGAAAGGGACGGCUAACUACGUGCCAGCAGCCGCGGUAAUACGUAGGUCCCGAGCGUUGUCCGGAUUUAUUGGGCGUAAAGCGAGCGCAGGCGGUUUGAUAAGUCUGAAGUUAAAGGCUGUGGCUCAACCAUAGUUCGCUUUGGAAACUGUCAAACUUGAGUGCAGAAGGGGAGAGUGGAAUUCCAUGUGUAGCGGUGAAAUGCGUAGAUAUAUGGAGGAACACCGGUGGCGAAAGCGGCUCUCUGGUCUGUAACUGACGCUGAGGCUCGAAAGCGUGGGGAGCGAACAGG
rnacentral:rRNA from 1 species